CCGCAGGAGUGAGUCUCCGCAGGCAGGGCUGCUGGCUGGGCGACCUCGCCGCUUCCCCCUUUCUCCUCCCUCGUUCCGUCCGCAGAGGGCACCCAGGGACGCAGCUGUAGCUCUGGACUGCCUCCGCAGUGAACUCACGGCCAUGAUGCUAAGAGGAAACCUGAAGCAAGUGCGCAUUGAGAAAAACCCGGCCCGCCUUCGCGCUCUCGAGUCGGCGGCGGGGGAGAACGAGCCGGCCGCCGCCAUGGCGCUCGCGCUGUCCGGGGAGCCGGCGCCGCCCGCGCCCCCGGAGGACCACGCGGACGAGGAGGUGGGCUUCACCAUCGACAUCAAGAGCUUCCUCAAGCCGGGCGAGAAGACGUACACGCAGCGCUGCCGCCUCUUCGUGGGAAACCUGCCCACGGACAUCACCGAGGAGGACUUCAAGCGGCUCUUCGAGCGCUACGGCGAGCCCAGCGAAGUCUUCAUCAACCGCGACCGCGGCUUCGGCUUCAUCCGUCUGGAAUCCAGAACAUUGGCUGAAAUUGCAAAAGCAGAGUUGGAUGGCACCAUUUUGAAGAGCAGACCUCUCCGAAUUCGUUUUGCUACACAUGGAGCAGCCCUAACUGUCAAGAACCUUUCUCCAGUUGUUUCCAAUGAGCUUCUAGAGCAAGCAUUUUCCCAGUUUGGUCCAGUAGAGAAAGCCGUUGUGGUUGUGGAUGAUCGUGGUAGAGCUACAGGAAAAGGUUUUGUAGAAUUUGCAGCAAAACCUCCUGCACGAAAGGCUCUGGAGAGAUGUGGUGAUGGGGCGUUCUUGCUAACAACGACCCCGCGUCCAGUCAUUGUGGAGCCUAUGGAGCAGUUUGACGAUGAAGAUGGCUUGCCAGAGAAGCUAAUGCAGAAAACUCAACAAUAUCAUAAGGAAAGAGAACAGCCGCCACGUUUUGCUCAACCUGGGACAUUUGAAUUUGAGUAUGCAUCUCGAUGGAAGGCUCUUGACGAAAUGGAAAAGCAGCAGCGUGAGCAGGUUGAUAGAAACAUCAGAGAAGCCAAAGAGAAACUGGAGGCAGAAAUGGAAGCAGCUAGGCACGAACACCAAUUAAUGCUAAUGAGGCAAGAUCUAAUGAGGCGUCAAGAAGAACUCAGACGCUUGGAAGAACUCAGAAACCAAGAGCUGCAAAAACGGAAACAAAUACAACUGAGACAUGAAGAAGAGCAUCGUCGUCGUGAGGAGGAAAUGAUCCGACACAGAGAGCAGGAGGAACUUAGGCGACAACAAGAGGGCUUUAAGCCAAACUAUAUGGAAAAUGAGGAUAAAAGAAAACAUGGAUGAAGCUCCCUGAAAUUUGGCUUCCAGUUUAGAGACUAGCACGUGCUGGAGUCCUGUUUCCUUUCAGGUUAUUUUGUGAGAGAAAUGCUUUAAUGACACAGGAAAAACAAGCCAGAAAACAAAUCUUACUUCGUUUGUGAAUUUAUUGCUCCAUAGGAACAAUUUAUGGAUGUACUAGCAAUCAUAACACUUGACAUUUGAAAAAAGAUACUUCAUGAACAAAUUUUCUGUGGUUAAAAUAUCUGGAAUAGUGCAAACUUCCCAUUUUCAUUCAAGUCUUUUUUUUAAAAAAGAUGUCUGUCUCCUCACUUGGUGUGGUCUUCCUGGUUAAUGUUGGGAGGUAUUACGGUGGUAGCCAACAACCCGCCCCCAGCCCCUUUAACUCCCCAUAAAUGGGAACCACUAGAAGAAUUUUUCCCACCUCAUUCAGCCUCCAGUUUUGGGUCAGUCACCAGUAUCAGGAACUACUCAUAAGAAAUUUGGCACUGUUGUGAGAAAAGACAUGUUUUACUAAAGUAUGUAUCUUGACCCAAGGAAGGCAAAUAAUGGGGGAUACAGGGAAGGCAGAGAUAAUGUGUUGUAGAGAAAUGGAAAAUCACUUUCUUCCAAAUACUAGAUUUAGAUUCCAACUGGGGUUCCUCUGGGAGCUCAGGAUGAUGGACAAUGACUAUUUCUCUGAUUCUGUUUUAAUUUGGUCCUGACUGAAUUGUGAACUCUACUUGUCAUUACAAUUUUCCAGCUUGCUUACUAGUAAGACUUUCCUUUACUUCAGGCCUAGAAAUCCCAGAUUUGGUCUAAAAGGAGCAUUAUCUGCAGUCAGCCCAGGAUGGAGGAAAGAAGUGUGAAUUCCAUCAGUGGUCCUCUGAACUUCCCUAGCAAAGAUUUGGGACCAGUAAAGUUUUAAAAAUUUAAAAUAAUUCUAGGGGUUUAUAUAGUAUUAUGCUAUGAAACAUUAAUUGUAUGAACUAUUAAACUUUUUAAAAUGAUUUCAUAAAGCACUUCUGAUAUUCUGGUGUAUGUGACCUCUUUUUCCCUGGUCUUCGGUAAUCAUACUCCUUGCACUUUUCGAUUUCUCCAUUUUUUUUUUUUUUUAAAGAUUUUAUAUUUUCCUUUUUCUCCCCAAAGCCCCCCGGUUCAUAGUUGUGUAUUCUUCGUUGUGGGUUCUUCUAGUUGUGGCAUGUGGGACGCUGCCUAACGAAACACUGGGCUGCCUGCAGCGGAGCGCGCGAACUUAACCACUCGGCCACGGGGCCAGCCCCUCGAUUUCUCCAUUUUUAUUCAAAGACAAAACAGACUUUCAUAGUAAAUGGUUUAUCAGGCCCUUCACUGUUAACAUUCUGGGUUGCUAAACCAUGUUAGCCCUAGUAAAUUCUCAUUAAAGUUUGAAAGCUACUAGUAUAACGCUGAGUAGAAUUCUAAAAGCACUACCUCAGCUUCAAAUUGAAACUUGCUGACAUUUGACUCAAUAAAUUCUACAAAUUUAAGAACUAAGAUGGGCAUGACUUGGAAGAUAGUGUACGAAAUUGAAUAGUUUCAUAUUCCUGGACUAAAACCCAAACUCCCCAUCUAACUCUAGUUGUUUAACAUUUAUUGAGUGGCAUUGGGUACUAGGCACUUCUCUUUGGUACAGAUGUUGCACAUAAAAGAAGGUGUAAUGAAUGUGCUUUCCACUGUAGCCGUACUCAAGAGUAGACCAGAUCUGAACGGCAUAGCUAGCAAUUUGAGUAACACUGUCCGUAUCUCAGUGCACGCCAGAAAGGAGUAAGGGCUGAGAAGUCAUGCAUUUUUUUAAUGAUAAAACUGAAGCACAGAGAUGUGUACUAAUUGGUUUUCAAUGAGUCUGGCCAAAGAGUGAUGUAUCCCAUUUAUGAUUAUUUCUGUGUAGUCAUGAGAUCGCGCAUGGCUUAGAUAAUAAAGCUCAGUUAUAUAUUCUGUAACUAUGAAGGAGGUUGCUUUGGUUUCGACCUGUAAUACUAAGCAUAUCUGUUAACCUUUUGGUAAGGUGCUGCUUGAGAACUGCUUUGUUUUCCAGAGAAAUCACUGCUUACACUUUGUACAUAUUUUAUUUAAAUAUCAAAGCAGCCACAUCGCCUGCAGCAUUAGCUGCCUCAUCAGAGAGCCAGCAAGAAAGCUCUCUCACCUGGGACUCUUAACAGAUUCCUCUUCAUCUUUAAGGAACCAGAUCUUUGAGCAUUUACCCACUCAAGGACAAGUGUGCUUUUCAUCUAACUAUAGAGAAGAUAUAGUUUAGAGCAGAACAACUGUUCAAAUGUGUGGCUCUGUUAUAGUUGUAGUAGACACAAUUGUUUACAGACUUUAGUAGUGUAUCAGGUACGAAACUGGUGGAAGCAAACACAACUCAAAGGUAGUGUUACCCCAAAUUAUCUACAACUUUCUGUUCUCUCCCUGACCCUGGGUCAGUCCCCCGUAAGCAACAGCUUCACCUGUGAAAAGAUUUCAUCCUUGCUGACCUUUCAUAGCUUUCACGUUCUCAGCCUAAAUAAAUCCCUAAAGGAACUGUCUUCAGAUUUCCUACUUGGUCUCUCUCCUAGAGCCCCUUGCCUCCUGGGUCCAGAGUGUUCUCAUAAAGCUGUUAUUGCCUUAGGCACGAUUUUGAGAUAAAUGAUCUCUCAACCAGUUUCUCUUAGUAUCAUGGUCCCUCAAUGUUCCUGAUGUGUGCACUUUGCUAGCAAACAUCUUUUUUUUAGAAAGCUAUGAAAUCAGAUACAGUACUAGUACACGAGUCAAUAUAGUUGAAAAAGUCCAAUCUCAGGUGUCAUUUAGCUAAAAAACUACACACUGAGUAUCCAUCUUGUUUUGAAGCCCUGAGACUUGAGAUGCAAAGAAAACAGACGAACAUUGUGGUGUUUUGAGAAAACUGAGAAAAGGCCGUUUUAGUAUGCAAAGUAAAAAUGGCUCUCUGAAACAGCUAUACAGAUUGGGGGAUCUGUGACACUGAGAAUUUUUCAUUAAAAUUGUAACAACAAUUCUAAAACUAAUCAGGAACUAAACACUUCUAUAUAUUUCCAUAAUGCAGAAUGAGCUUAUUAGUUUGCCAAAUAUUUCUUAAAAGAAUGUGAGUGAGACCUGUGGGAAGUCUACAGAAGCAAUGCCUCUUCCCAUGAGGCACAGUGUGGCAAGGCCCAGGCAGCCGUCCCAGGGUGCAGAACUGGGGCGCAGGUUCCAGCUUUUCAAAAUUACUUGUUGGAUUCCCAGAACAAGGGUAAAAGAUCACAUCCACUAGCUCCCUUUUAUGCCUCAUAAUCUUCUGGUUUACAUUUUUUGCU